rnacentral:sRNA from 1 species
UGAAAAUAUCCAAGAGUACAAUGUCCCCACAGUGGAAAUGGCAGAACAAAGGCACCAAGCUCGAGUGUGCAGCUGUUAUUUGUUAACAAACAAAGAGCACAGUGACAUUGGAGUGACAAAGUCAAUAAUGAAAUAGCUAGAGAAAUGAGGUCACAGGUGCUGCAGCCUCUGCCCCUGUGGUGACAACUAAUCAUUCCAUUGGACUAAAACGAUAUACUUUAAAAAACAAUGUCCUGGAAUUGCCGAGACUGCUCAUAUAAGGCCAUGAAGGUCUACACAGCAAAGAUUGCACAAUAACCCAUUAAAAUAAACAUUUGCAAC